GCUGGGAAAAGACAACACAAACAUACAUAUAUAAAUAAACAAAUCAUUUGAUAAACCAAGUAGAUGUGAUCGAACAGUAACCAUUAACCAAGUACCGUAAGGGAAUAAACUACAAGCACAAAACAGCAAAGACUAAACCUUGUACCUUUCGCAUCAUGGUUUAGCCAGUAACCAAAGACAAGAAGAAUCACAGUCCACACCCCGAAACCAAAUGAGCUACUUUAGAGCAGCCUACUGGGCACACCCUUCUCUGUGGCAAAAGAGUGGGAAGACUUAAAAGUAGAAGUGAAACGCUUAACGAAUUUGGAGAUAGCUGGUUACCAAAAAAAGAAUAUAAGUCCUUCCUCAUACAGAAUAAUACCACAUAAUCAAAUGAGGACAUCAAUAAGGGUACAGCUUUAUUGAAACAGGAUACAACCUGAAUUUGAGAGGAAAUACCGCACAAAUCAACCUGUAGGCCCUUAAGCAGCCACCAAACAAAAUAUCGUUAAAGAAUUUACUAACAAAUCCCAAUACCAAUAAAAAACUCCAAACCAACUAAUGGUAGACCCAUUUAAAUGGGUAUUAUUAUGCUAAAACUAAUAAUAAGACAACCCCUCUAACUACGCACCUGUCCACUAGACCGGAUAAUCCACUAGCCAUUAACAGACCAUAAAAGGAAAAGACAACGCAAUUCACAAACAAACACCCACUGUGACACCAACACAGGAGCGUUAAAAAGAAAGAUAUAAUACUAUAAAAGGAACUCGGCAACCAAAAGCCCCAACUGUUUAACAAAAACAUAACCUUUAGCCAAACAAAUAUUAAAGGCAACGCCUGCCCAGUGAACAAUUAAACGGCCGCGGUACACUAACCGUGCAAAGGUAGCAUAAUAAUUUGUCUACUAAUUAUAGACCUGCAUGAAAGGCAAAAUGAGGGCUUGACUGUCUCUUAUAGUUAAUCAAUUAAACUGAUCUCCUAGUAAAAAAGCUAGAAUUACCACAUAAGACCAGAAGACCCUGUGAAGCUUAAACUAAACUAUUAAACCAAAUAAUAACUACUUUAGGUUGGGGCGACCUUGGAAAAAGAAUAACUUCCAAAAGUCUAACGACACAAACAGGCCGACAAGCCAAUCAAACGACCCAGCAACGCUGAAAAUUGAACCAAGUUACUCCAGGGAUAACAGCGCAAUCUUCUUCAAGAGCCCAUAUCAAAAAGAAGGUUUACGACCUCGAUGUUGGAUCAGGACAUCCUAAUGGUGCAGAAGCUAUUAAGGGUUCGUUUGUUCAACGAUUAAUGUCCUACGUGAUCU
rnacentral:rRNA from 1 species